rnacentral:misc_RNA from 1 species
CAACCCUCAAGCCCCCUCGGGGGCUCGGUGUUGGGGACCGGCCCUGCCUCGCAGCGGGCGCCGCCCCCGAAAUCCAUUGGCGGUCUCGCCGCAGCCUCCUCUGCGUAGUAAUUUUGCACCUCGCACCGGAGCGCGGCUCGGCCACGCCGUAAAACCCCAACUUCUUAAAGG